GUCUGGAUCCAUCCUUGAGCUGCAAGUAUAUUGGCCCUUGGGUGCUCCACAUUCUCAUUGUCCCCACCUUCAAGGGAGUUGAAUCAGCAGGGCUCAUGGGGUGGCCUGCUGGACUAAGGGGUCUGCUUCUCAUCCCUGUGACUCUUACCUCAUAGACCACAUGCAGAAUGGAGAUGGAGCACCAUGGUCUUUUUCAUUGAGUUGGCUCUUCACAUCUGGUGGCCAAAGUAUUGAAGCUUCAGCUUCAGCAAAAGUGGUUAAGCAUCUGCCUGCCAAAGCCUGGAUUUGAUCCCUGGUCUUAGAAGAUCUCACAUGCUGUGAAGCAGCUAAGCUCAUCUACCACAACUACUGAAGCCUGAGUGCCCUAGAGCCCAUACUCUACAACAUACUCUACAGUGAAGCCACCACAAGGAGAAGCCUUGAGAGCAGCCCCUGCUCACCGCAACUAGUAAAAGCCUGUGUUCAGCAACGAAGACCCAGAAC
ensembl:lncRNA